CGGGGCUGGCCCGCCGCUGACCCGCCGCCUCCGUCUGCCUCCUCCCGGGCUCUGGGCCCAGCGCGCCCAGAUGCCGGGCAGGACCCCUCCGCCCGCUGCUGGAACACCAAUAGCAGCGUUGGAGCCUCUGGGCCGGAGGAACUGGGGCCUCCACCGACACCUGCUUCUUCCCUCACCUCGCAGCCUUCCACACCUGUUGAUCUGACCUCUGCCCCGCUGCCGCCCAGGAGUAACCUAAGGCUUUUGGCCUGAUUCGAGCUCACUCCGUCUAAACCUCUAAAUGCGGUGCGAAAAAAUCCUGGGGAAUGUGCCAUGCAAAGCCUGGGCAUUUCAAGUGCUUUUCUGGAUUCGCAUCAACUCCUCUUUACAGGCAUCUUUAUCCGGAAUUCAGCUCGUCCCAAACCCCACGUGGUGUAGCUCUGCUUGUGUUUUUGAAUCCCGGGGCCUCUUUGAAUCAGAAGCCCUUUGUAUAGAGAUAAGUAUCCUUUAGGCCAGAAUCAGCCUCCAUUUUUUUCGCAGUCCCAUUUCCUACCCGUAAUACUUUCUUCUGAUUUUAAAGCCAUUUGAUAGAGAAGGGACAGGGAACAGAACCUUCGCCCCCCGCCUGAGCAGCUGGUAGACUAGAUAUCUUCCAAACAUUAUCUCAUUUACUUCCCUGGAGUUACAAAUAGGUAGAUUUCAUGUCCGUUGAGGGGUGAGAAAGCUGAAACUUUGAGACUUAAGAAUCCUGGCCGAGGUCAGCCUCCUCCGAAGCUUCAUCUCUUGCCACCACUUUCUGGUGCACACCUAGGACAGAUUUCAAUCCCUGAGAUCCCAGGAUGAAACCUAUGUUUGCCAAAUACCAGCUACUGUGCCAGAAGAGAUCAUGGAACCAGGUGUGGAAAGCUGCUUGAGAAGAGGAGCCAAAACAUCAUAGUUGAACCGUCCUGGAAUAGAAACUCGCCCUGAAUUCUUUCUUGUGUGAAAUCCAAGAGCCCUCUCUUGGGGUUGGAUCGGGACCCUGUUCCUGUAACAAGUCCACAAUGCCAGAGAAUUAAAGAGAACCACAAAGUUUCUGCCAUUUCAGUUCCUGUUAUCGUGCUUUGAGGUGCACUGAACUGCAGCAAACCCAGGGGAUCCAAGGCUACGUUGAAAAGCCUUUGACCACAGUGCAGGGAGCAGAAGACAUUAAUGACGUGAUGUCGACACAGCCCGCACUCAGGAUCCUCCAGGAAAAGAACACAGAGAUAACCCCGGAUCGAUGGUACUUUUUGAAAAUGCUUUAUUGCAAAAGAGUGGCUAGGGUUUUACAAGGGCUAUGAAGAAACAUAUUAAGGUUAAUAAAGCUUUUUAUUGAGUGUUUACUGAGUGUUACUAUGUGCUUUACAUCUAUUAACUCAUUUCAUCUUCAAAACAACCCUAUAAAGAUGUUACAACUAUAAUCCUAACCUUACAAAUGAAACAACUGAGGCACAGUGAAGUGCAGUGG
rnacentral:lncRNA from 1 species